AGUGAACGCUGGCGGUAGGCCUAACACAUGCAAGUCGAACGGCAGCACAGUAAGAGCUUGCUCUUGCGGGUGGCGAGUGGCGGACGGGUGAGGAAUACAUCGGAAUCUACUUUUUCGUGGGGGAUAACGUAGGGAAACUUACGCUAAUACCGCAUACGACCUACGGGUGAAAGCAGGGGAUCUUCGGACCUUGCGCGAUUGAAUGGGCCGAUGUCGGAUUAGCUAGUUGGCGGGGUAAAGGCCCACCAAGGCGACGAUCCGUAGCUGGUCUGAGAGGAUGAUCAGCCACACUGGAACUGAGACACGGUCCAGACUCCUACGGGAGGCAGCAGUGGGGAAUAUUGGACAAUGGGCGCAAGCCUGAUCCAGCCAUACUGCGUGGGUGAAGAAGGCCUUCGGGUUGUAAAGCCCUUUUGUUGGGAAAGAAAAGCAGCAGGUUAAUACCCCGCUGUUCUGACGGUACCCAAAGAAUAAGCACCGGCUAACUUCGUG
rnacentral:rRNA from 1 species